rnacentral:rRNA from 1 species
AGUCCCUCGUACCUUUUGCAUCAUGAUUUAGCAAGUACCCCCAAGCAAAGAGCACUUUAGUUUGCUACCCCGAAACUAGACGAGCUACUCCAAGACAGCCUGUAGCAGGGCCAACCCGUCUCUGUGGCAAAAGAGUGGGAAGAGCUUCGAGUAGAGGUGACAGACCUACCGAGCCUAGUUAUAGCUGGUUCCCUGGGAACUGGAUAGAAGUUCAGCCUCUUGGCUUCUCCCCAAACCUUGAGAGUUAGUCGAAGGGGGCACAGCCCCUUUGACACAAGACACAACUUUUUUAGUAGGAUAAAGAUCAUAAACCCUCGAAGGGCAAUUAUUUAGGUGGGCUUAAAAGCAGCCAUCCUGUCAGAAAGCGUUAAAGCUCCAAUAUGUGAUCCCGACAAACCCAUCUUACCCCACUAUACCUACCAGGGCGUUCUAUACAGCCUAUAGAAGCGAUUAUGCUAAUAUGAGUAACAAGAGCGGCCCCUCUCCUUGCACAAGUGUAUAUCAGAACGGACCCCCCGCCGCAAAUUAACGGCCUCAAACAAAGAGGGCACUGAAGAAUAACUAGAAAACAUCCAACCGUUGACCCCACACUGGUGUGCUCUUAAGGAAAGACUAAAAGAAAGAGAAGGAACUCGGCAAACGAGCCUCGCCUGUUUACCAAAAACAUCGCCUCUUGCAUGAAUAAGAGGUCCCGCCUGCCCUGUGACUAUAUGUUUAACGGCCGCGGUAUUUUGACCGUGCGAAGGUAGCGUAAUCACUUGUCUCUUAAAUGGGGACCUGUAUGAAUGGCAUAACGAGGGUUCAACUGUCUCCUCUCUCAAGUCAGUUAAAUUGAUCUCCCCGUGCAGAAGCGGGGAUAAUACCAUAAGACGAGAAGACCCUAUGGAGCUUUAGACACUAAGGUAGAUUUAUGUUUAACCUUCUCCAACAAGAGAAGAAAAACUUAAUAAACCCCUAUCCUAAUGUCUUUGGUUGGGGCGACCGUGGGGCACACAAAACCCCCACGUGGAGCAGGAGCACUCCCACAGCUAAGAGCUUACCGCUCUAAUAAACAGAAUUUCUGACCAAUAAUGAUCCGACAACGUCGAUCAACGAACCGAGUUACCCUAGGGAUAACAGCGCAAUCUCCUUUUAGAGUCCAUAUCGACAAGGAGGUUUACGACCUCGAUGU